GCAGCACCUCAGCAGUUCUCAGAUGGAUCCCGCUGCUGGUCCUUCAUCUAGACCAAUAAUGACUGAAAAUGUAUCAACACAGGAAAAUAUUUUAGUUCGAGAGAACUUGGUGGAUGAUCAGGUUGUUAUAUUGUCUCCAUUUCCCCGGGUGUUAAUACUUUUGCCCACUCAUUUUUUAUUUACUGACUUCUUUGUCUUGCUCUGUACGCUCUUUUCAGCGACCAAGAAACAACCCUGA
rnacentral:lncRNA from 7 species